CCCCAUGCUGGGGCAGCAGCCCUUUUUCCUGGACCACAGGUGAGGUCUGAGGCAUGGAAUCUCAGGCAUGUUAGGUGUUUUAGAAAGGGGUUUCCAGCAAAUCAGUUUGGCACAGCCUGUUUUAUCAAACACCACUGGUCCAUGUGAUUUCCCUCUAACUAAAAUUACUUAAACUACUUUCUUUCAAAAUAGUAAGUUUUUUAAAAGUGGUUAUUUAAUUAGAGUGCCAUGGGAGAGACAAAUGAGCCUAAUAGCCCUUUUUAUUUCAUGAGUGAUCCCACUCAGAGUGCCGGCGGCCAUUCUUUGUGGCAAUGGUAAGAUCAUCAGUGUCUGCCCUUCCUUUCUCAGGCUGACUGCUCAGCUAGAACUGACAGGGUUUUUACCCCCCACUUCCCUCCUGACCUGUGGGAGAGAUUGUCGGGAGCAUGCCCCGACUGGGACAAACCAAGAUGGAGGACAAUCAGACACACCAGGGAGAACAGUCAAAGCAAGAUCUCGUUUAAUGAGAAAACAAAUACAGCUAAUAUAAUGUACAGGAGCCAAUCAGGGUAAAGGUCAGCAGGGUGGAGAGCAUUUACAUCUACACCCAUCCUACAGGAAGUAAUGGGAGACACAGCUGUCUGUGAGGGCAGAAGGGUUCUGAGCCUAUUCUAGAGGUGGUACGAUUCAUCACAAUGCAUGGCAAUGCCUUCUGGCUAAUCCCUAGGUGCUCUCUUAGCCACCUGUGGCCCCAGGACUGGGAAGCAGGUAGUAGCCAGCAAGUUAAGUUUCCUCUUUUCUGACUCAACAUGUCCCACAUUACAUCAUGCCCUACAUAGAACCUUCCAUCAAAUACUCACUCUCCCUUCUUCUUCCUCCCUUCCUUCUUCUGGGAGAGAGAUGCUAGUCUACAUAGUAGAAAAAAAAAUUACAAUAAAGAUUGUCCUGAGUUUAUGAAAUGUAUCAGUUUGUUAUCUUCCAUUUGAAAAUCACAGAAAAUCCAAUUAAAACAGGUUUAGACAAACAAUAAGGAGUAAUAUUUUGUGUAGCUGAAGUAUUCAGGGGAAGAGUGGACUGCAGACCCAGUAGCAUCCAGGGAUUCAUCAGGGUAAAGUUUAUCUUCGCUUUCAUUUUUGCCUUCUGCCAUGUGUGUCCCAUGGUCAGACAGGCUCUUCCCUCAUGGAAGCAGCUCCAGCC
rnacentral:lncRNA from 1 species